rnacentral:rRNA from 1 species
GAUGAACGCUGGCGGCGUGCCUAAUACAUGCAAGUCGAGCGAACGGACGAGAAGCUUGCUUCUCUGAUGUUAGCGGCGGACGGGGGAGUAACACGUGGAUAACCUACCUAUAAGACUGGGAUAACUUCGGGAAACCGGAGCUAAUACCGGAUAAUAUUUUGACCCGCAUGGUUCAAAAGUGAAAGACGGUCUUGCUGUCACUUAUAGAUGGAUCCGCGCUGCAUUAGCUAGUUGGUAAGGUAACGGCUUACCAAGGCAACGAUGCAUAGCCGACCUGAGAGGGUGAUCGGCCACACUGGAACUGAGACACGGUCCAGACUCCUACGGGAGGCAGCAGUAGGGAAUCUUCCGCAAUGGGCGAAAGCCUGACGGAGCAACGCCGCGUGAGUGAUGAAGGUCUUCGGAUCGUAAAACUCUGUUAUUAGGGAAGAACAUAUGUGUAAGUAACUGUGCACAUCUUGACGGUACCUAAUCAGAAAGCCACGGCUAACUACGUG